CAGAGGGGGGUGGAAUUCCACGUGUAGCAGUGAAAUGCGUAGAUAUGCGGAGGAACACCGAUGGCGAAGGCAGCCCCCUGGGCCAAUACUGACGCUCAUGCACGAAAGCGUGGGGAGCAAACAGGAUUAGAUACCCUGGUAGUCCACGCCCUAAACGAUGUCAACUAGGUGUUGGG
rnacentral:rRNA from 1 species